GGUGCUGCAUGGCUGUCGUCAGCUCGUGUUGUGAAAUGUUGGGUUAAGUCCCGCAACGAGCGCAACCCUUAUCCUUUGUUGCCAGCGGUUCGGCCGGGAACUCAAAGGAAACUGCCGGUGAUAAACCGGAGGAAGGGGGGGAUGACGUCAAGUCAUCAGGGCCCUUACGAGUGGGGCUACACACGUGCUACAAUGGCGCAUACAAAGAGAAGCGACCUCGCGAGAGCAAGCGGACCUCAAAAAGUGCGUCGUAGUCCGGAUUGGAGUCUGCAACUCGACUCCGUGAAGUCGGAAUCGCUA
rnacentral:rRNA from 1 species